AGUGAACGCUGGCGGUGGGCCUAACACAUGCAAGUCGAACGGCAGCACAGUAAGAGCUUGCCCUUACGGGUGGCGAGUGGCGGACGGGUGAGGCAUACAUCGGAAUCUACUUUUUCGUGGGGGACAACGUAGGGCAACUUACACUAAUACCGCAUACGACCUACCGGUGAAAGCAGUGGAUCUUCGGACCUUGCGCGACUGAAUGAGCCGAUGUCGGAUUAGCUAGUUGGCGAGGUAAAGGCCCACCAAGGCGACGAUCCGUAGCUGGUCUGAGAGGAUGAUCGGCCACACUGGAACUGAGACACGGUCCAGACUCCUACGGGAGGCAGCAGUGGGGAAUAUUGGGCAAUGGGCGCAAGCCUGAUCCAGCCAUGCCGCGUGAGUGAAGAAGGCCUUCGGGUUGUAAAGCCCUUUUGUUGGGAAAGAACAGCAGCAGAUUUAUACCCCGCUGUUCUGACGGUACCCAAACAGUAAGCACCGGCUAACUUCGUG
rnacentral:rRNA from 1 species